UUUUUUUUACCCAUAUUUUAAAGUUCAAAUAUUAUCCAUAUGCCCAAAUGCCCAACAGCCCAAGCCCAACAAAAUCUCAACUUACCCUAAUUUCAAAUCCGCCUCUUUGCUCUUUCUUCUCACUUUCUCAGUUAGUCUUUCAGUUUCUCACGUACUCCUCUCUUAGUCUUCUCUGAGUUCUUCUCAGUCUCUCCUCUCUACUCCUUUUCUCGAUCUCCGACCACCCUCUCCCACCAGAAGCGGCGCCUCACUCAUCCACCAGAAGCGGCGCCUCACUAAUCCACCAGAAGCGGCGAUGCCCCUCAGUGCCCUCACUCCUUCACGGCUUCACCAGAAGCGGCGCCCCUCACUCCUCCACCAAGAGUUGUUGACUUGCCGUAUGCUCAUACUUUGUUGAAUGUUAAUCCGCUAUCGGUUUCCGGCGUUGAUGACUUAUUUUUUAGUAUAAGAUAAAAUGCAUGUAUUGUUAACUAUUUGGACAUUAAUGUAUUUGGACUUUAAAUUUUCUUUGUCAUAUAAUUUGUACUUUUGUAGCAGUUAUCUAAUUAGUUUGCAUUUUGGCAAAUUGGCAACCAUGGCAGGUUAUUUGUAUUUUGUUAUUUUAUUAUUUUGUUUUUUUUUCUUCUGAAAAUUACUAAAUUAGUUGUGGACAAUAUUUACAAGUCCAUUUUUUUAAUAGGAUAAUUAUUUUAAAUAGGAUAAUUACACAUCUAUUUUCUCUCUCUUUGUUCAGGUUGUGAGUAACAUGAGGAGAAAAUGGG